rnacentral:rRNA from 1 species
UACGUAGGGGGCAAGCGUUGUUCGGAUUUACUGGGCGUAAAGGGCGCGUAGGCGGUCAGCACAAGUCAGUUGUGAAAUCUCCGGGCUUAACUCGGAAAGGUCAACUGAUACUGUGCGACUAGAGUGCAGAAGGGGCAACUGGAAUUCUCGGUGUAGCGGUGAAAUGCGUAGAUAUCGAGAGGAACACCUGCGGCGAAGGCGGGUUGCUGGGCUGACACUGACGCUGAUGCGCGAAAGCCAGGGGAGCGAACCGG